AUGGGCACAGGGUUGAUUGACGCGGACUACUGCGGCCCGGUGGGCAGUGUGCUCUUCAACGACUCGGAGGUGGACUUGGCUGUGAAGACCGGCGACCGCGUCGCACGGAUGAUCAUCCAGGUAAUCUCGACGCCGGAGGUCGCCGAGGAGGAGGACCUCGACGCCACAGUUCGGGGGGGAGGUCCACCUACGUCUAAACUCCAAGUCUAG
rnacentral:rRNA from 1 species